AAUCAUCCAGAUGGUGCCGGAUUGAUCAGCCGUCAGUUUUGUUGUCUUUAAAUAAACCAGUUUUUUUUAUGAACGUUCGAUGAUGUUACUUCGAAAACUUUAGCAUUCCGAAGUGGGAUUACCGCUGAGCCUCCCCGGAACAGUGGUGGCUGCGACAGCCACGUUCACGCCGACGAACGUGAGUCUUCUUCGCGGGCGGUGGUGCGCGUCCAUUGUUUCCGCCACCGACGAGAGGCCGUUCAGUGUUCCCGUUGACUCGACGAGAAAGCACAGCCAUGGCCGCGGACCGUGAGCUCGUACGGACCCUGGCAUCGCAACCGGGCUUCGCAUCGGUGACCGCGAUGCCAGACUUGACGGCGUCCAUUCCCGCCUUCUCUGACUCGUCGUCGGCAGCGAGCGCCAUGAAGUGCGCGGGACUGGGAGGCGCAUAUCAACACGGUGGCGGCGCAACGCAGUCCGGGUGGAGCGAUGAAAUAACGCUCGCUGUUGCUUCAUCGAAGGUGAGCGGGACGGCUUGAGUGGCAUCCAACGACCGGGAAGCGACUGGAAACUUGGUCGAAAUGGGCUGAAGAACUACAGAUGGUGUUCCUCGAUGAUGACGAUUCGCACUCUACGAGAUGAUGCUCCGGCGGACACAGACCGGAACAAGCAGCCCACAAGAAAAAAAAAAAGACACUGUGGAGGACAAGCUUCUCAAAAAGCUUCGCCAGGAGCUGAAAGGUCACAGGCUCCGUGCAUCUUCUGGGGAUCCUGAGGACGUUGCAUCACAAGCUCGAGGACCUGUCUUCGCUGUACCUGCCCUGGCCUCUGCUGAAGAGGCCUCUGCUAGGUCCAAGGAGUCCCGGAUAAAGGAGGGCGAGACCUGGGCCAACAAUGUCGAGACCAGGGCCAGUGAGCCUCAGACCGGGGCCGAAGCCAGGGCUAAUAAGGUCAAAGCCUGGGCCAACGAGGCCGAAACCAGGGCAGGGCCACCGAGGCUGAAGCCAGCAUGGAGCAGGUUGAGACCAGGACCGACCUGACUGGGGGACGCUGAGGCUAGAGCGGCCGAGGCCAGAGCACAGGAGGUCGAGGUUGUAACGUAGCGUCCUCUGCAUCCGGAUGUAAGGUGUGCCACCCCUUGUUGCGGCUAUGGAGACUCGUGGAGUGGCAGGCCCUGUGGUUCAAGAGGAUAUUGUGUAGAAUAUGAUAACCUUUGGAGACAUUGCGCUUCCUGAAGCGCAGUUGAAGCAUGUCGACACGAAGCAGCCAUCCAUUUACGUUCAGGAACUCGCGGUCAUGGUAUUUGAAACUGAGGCCCUGACAAACUGCUGCCUUACGGGGUCGGCAAUGAAGGGAAAGCUUCCUAAAAAGGGAGUUAAGGACUUGAUAGCUUUUGUUACUGCCAAUUCCCUGGAGAAACUCGGAAGUCCGUGAAAGAAUACCUGUAAAGGAAGUGCAGCAAUGCUUCCUACACUCAAAACAAAGCCUCCAACACACAAAAGAAAACUGCAGAAUGAAAAAAAAAAAAAAAAAAA